UACGGAGGGUGCAAGCGUUGUCCGGAAUUACUGGGCGUAAAGCGUGCGCAGGCGGUUCGCUAAGACAGAUGUGAAAUCCCCGGGCUUAACCUGGGAACUGCAUUUGUGACUGGCGGGCUAGAGUAUGGCAGAGGGGGGUAGAAUUCCACGUGUAGCAGUGAAAUGCGUAGAGAUGUGGAGGAAUACCGAUGGCGAAGGCAGCCCCCUGGGCCAAUACUGACGCUCAUGCACGAAAGCGUGGGGAGCAAACAGG
rnacentral:rRNA from 1 species